CUACGUGCCAGCAGCCGCGGUAAUACGUAGGGGGCAAGCGUUAUCCGGAUUCAUUGGGCGUAAAGCGCUCGUAGGCGGUCUGUUAGGUCGGGAGUUAAAUCCGGGGGCUCAACCCCCGUUCGCUCCCGAUACCGGCAGACUUGAGUUUGGUAGGGGAAGGUGGAAUUCCUAGUGUAGCGGUGGAAUGCGCAGAUAUUAGGAAGAACACCAGUGGCGAAGGCGGCCUUCUGGGCCAUAACUGACGCUGAGGAGCGAAAGCUAGGGGAGCAAACAGGAUUAGAUACCCUGGUAGUCCUAGCCGUAAACGAUGGACACUAGGUGUGGGGGAAUAUUUCUUCCGUGCCGCAGCUAACGCAUUAAGUGCCCCGCCUGGGGAGUACGGCCGCAAGGCUAAAACUCAAAGAAAUUGACGGGGGCCCGCACAAGCGGCGGAGCAUGCGGAUUAAUUCGAUGCAACGCGAAGAACCUUACCAAGGCUUGACAU
rnacentral:rRNA from 1 species